UCCUUGGCCUUCGCUACCACGUAAAAAGAAAACAAACCCGGACACUUAGCUCCUGGCGGAUUCCCCGAGACAGCUGGGGAGAUACUGGCUAUGCAAAGGCUGUCCUAAUUAGAGGCUGUGACUUAAUCUUUGUCUGCUUUCAGGGACUGCCCUGCCUGCUGCUGAAUUAGAGGCCUCCAGUCUUCUCCAGUUGAGGAGGCAGGCAGGCAGGAGGGAGGAGAGGAUGUGAGGAGAGCCGCUGGGGAGAGCCCAAGGGCAGGACCAAACACCUAAGCUGCAGAUUGAACAAGACUACUUACAAAAACAGAUGACCUACUACUGUGUACUACCUACCUACUGUGGGUAGCCACAAUUCAUUGCAAGCGCAAUUAUUUAUGUUUUGAAGUAGCAGAUUAAUGAAGUCUGAAUAAUACCCAUUUAUAUCUCUUCUCUUACAAUAUGAACAUUUCCUUAUUUCCUUUUCUUAUUGUUUUGUUUGAAAUCUUUACAAAAGUAAUAAAUCAA